rnacentral:rRNA from 1 species
CCUUAGCUGAGGAAACAAACCAACCGGGAUUGCCUUAGUAACGGCGAGUGAAGCGGCAAAAGCUCAAAUUUGAAAUCUGGUACCUUCGGUGCCCGAGUUGUAAUUUGGAGAGGGCAACUUUGGGGCCGUUCCUUGUCUAUGUUCCUUGGAACAGGACGUCAUAGAGGGUGAGAAUCCCGUGUGGCGAGGAGUGCGGUUCUUUGUAAAGUGCCUUCGAAGAGUCGAGUUGUUUGGGAAUGCAGCUCUAAGUGGGUGGUAAAUUCCAUCUAAAGCUAAAUAUUGGCGAGAGACCGAUAGCGAACAAGUACAGUGAUGGAAAGAUGAAAAGAACUUUGAAAAGAGAGUGAAAAAGUACGUGAAAUUGUUGAAAGGGAAGGGCAUUUGAUCAGACAUGGUGUUUUGUGCCCUCUGCUCCUUGUGGGUAGGGGAAUCUCGCAUUUCACUGGGCCAGCAUCAGUUUUGGUGGCAGGAUAAAUCCAUAGGAAUGUAGCUUGCCUCGGUAAGUAUUAUAGCCUGUGGGAAUACUGCCAGCUGGGACUGAGGACUGCGACGUAAGUCAAGGAUGCUGGCAUAAUGGUUAUAUGCCGCCCGUCUAA